CUCAAACCACGGACCCUGGGCUUUCAAACCUCCCCAUGUGACCAAGGGAAAGGGCACUCUGUGAGGUUCUACAAGGUGACUCUCUGCCUAGCUUUACCGGCACCAGGCAAGUUCGAACCCAGGGACUUAAACACUCCAAAUGUGCACCCAGCUACGCCUACAGCUGGCCCUGUGGCAUUACUAUGAUGCCAUCAUCAUUUCAAAGGGUGGCCACCAUAUGACUGAUUUGGCUAACUCUAAUAGGGGUUCUGACCUCACUCUCGGGCCUUUGGUGUGGGGAAAGAGCCUGCAGCCAGGACAGCUACUGCUUGAGGUCACUAAGGAGAGCGUUUCUGUGGGCAGGGGAAAGAUCUGUGUGCGGCACUGGCUGGGGAAUUCAGCUGGAAGAUGGAGGAUUUCCAAGGUGAGAAAAUGGAGGCCUGGAGAACUGAAGAGCCUGUCCAAGACCAGCUAAUGAUCAAGGCACAGAGUGAGAGUGCUUCCUUCCCCUUGGCCCCUCACCUUCCCCUUUGGAAUGCUCACAGCCACCGAGAUCUGCUUCCCACCGUACAGGAGGCUCUCCUCUUCCUGGCCACCCUGAAGGUCCAACUCCCUUCAGAAUGCUCUGGUGACAUUAAAACUCAGAUGUCCUUCGGAACAGAGACCUGCAUGAAUCCUGUACUCGCCGGUGCUGAGGUGGGGGUGGGGAAUGGGGCUGGGGCAUGACCUCAAAGACUACCACACAGCCCCCAGAAGUGGCUUCACUACAGCA
rnacentral:lncRNA from 1 species